GAGUUUGAUCGUGGCUCAGAACGAACGCUGGCGGCAUGCCUAACACAUGCAAGUCGAACGAGACCUUCGGGUCUAGUGGCGCACGGGUGCGUAACGCGUGGGAAUCUGCCCUUGGGUUCGGAACAACAGUUGGAAACGACUGCUAAUACCGGAUGAUGACUUCGGUCCAAAGAUUUAUCGCCCAAGGAUGAGCCCGCGUCGGAUUAGCUUGUUGGUGAGGUAAAAGCUCACCAAGGCGACGAUCCGUAGCUGGUCUGAGAGGAUGAUCAGCCACACUGGGACUGAGACACGGCCCAGACUCCUACGGGAGGCAGCAGUGGGGAAUAUUGGACAA
rnacentral:rRNA from 1 species